GGGAAUGAAAUAGUGAGUCGGAUUAGUGGUUGUCCUUUCAUUCUCAAUUGCAUUGGUGACUUAGAAUGGAAGCUAUGAUUCCUUAUUGUGGUCACCAGUUUGCCGUUUAUGCUUGGAAUUCUUUACCAAAAUGUCCCUGACCUGGGAUUUAGAUCAAACUGUAUUUUUGUCGCCAUCACUGCUAGCAAAGAUUGUGAAAUGAUUGCGAGUGACAACUUUGAUCGAUAAAGAUUUGAGUCGAAGAGCAAUGUCUUGUAGCGUGCAUUCACAAUUGAAAUGCUGUUUUUAGAAUGGAAAUAACAUAAUCCAUUAAUGUGUCCAGAUUUCAAUCCAAAAUGUGGUGUAAGCCAGCUAUUCUUGCAUUUUACUCUUUGGUGUUUUCCUUGCGAAUCUUUUGAAAGUUUGUGUGUGUUUGUGUCUGUUUGUCUGGAAUUGCUUUUAUUACUGUCUACUGAUAGAACUUUGCAUUUCCUUUUCAGGUCACACCAAAUGCCCAUUUC
rnacentral:misc_RNA from 1 species